rnacentral:rRNA from 1 species
GCCUGAUGCAGCCAUGCCGCGUGUGUGAAGAAGGCCUUCGGGUUGUAAAGCACUUUCAGUCAGGAGGAAAGGUUAGUAGUUAAUACCUGCUAGCUGUGACGUUACUGACAGAAGAAGCACCGGCUAACUCCGUGCCAGCAGCCGCGGUAAU